UCUCUCUCUCUCUCUCUCUCUCUCUCUCUCUCUCUCUCUCACACACACACACACACACACAGAGAGAGAGAGAGAGAGAGAGAGCAAGAGCAAGAGCAAGAGC